CCCCUCGCCAGCCUCCGCGGCCACAUGACCGGGCGGGCCGGGAGCCAGGCGCACGGCUCGGCUACAAAUGCAGCCCCCGGCGCGAGCGGGUGCAUUCGUCGCCGCCGCCGCUUGGCAGAGCCCGGCUCCUCCCCGCCGAGCGACGCGCCCGGCUGCAGCCCCGGUCCUACCAUGAGCGUGCGGCGCUGGCUGCUGGCGCUGCUGCUGCUCUGGCUCGCCCUGAGCGCGGGCUCCGGAGCACCAUUGUCCGAGGUGGACAGAGAUGGCAGAGACCUGGAGAAAGGGAACAUCCAGAACCUGGUACACCCCAAGGGGAUGCGGAAUGGAGCAGGACACCGGCAGAAUGGCUGGCGAAAGUCCCGGCGUCCAAGACCCCGUCUCUCCCACAAGGGCCCCAUGCCUUUCUAGCGCAGGUUCCUGUACAAUUGCAGAUGUAGCUGUGCACUUCGCAGCAGCAGAGUGGGCCCUUCCGGGUGAGUGGCAGCGGGAGUUCUACCGAGACACAAUGAUGGAGAACUAUGGGAACGUGGUCUCUCUGGGGAUUCCCAUUCACAAACCUGAAAUCAUCUCCUGCCUGGAGCGAGGAGAGGAGCCCUUUGUCGCAGCUGCCCAGGGUCUUGAGGAACCAGAGAUCCUAAGAGGCAUCUACACAGGUGAGCAAUGGGAUAAAUCACCUCUGAACCCAUCAACGAGUGAAAUGAAAUGUUGGGACCGUGGGAAAGUGGCAUGAACGCCCCCAGCUCUGCCUUCUUUUGUGAGCUCUGCAGAGGCAGGUCUCAACUGGAGAUGUGCAGUGUUUGCCUUGGCUCUGAGCAGCCCCUUUCUGCCUGGGGGGAUUUGUCCCCUGAGUACCAGAGAUUUCUGGAGCCGUAAAACAUAAACGUAGAGUCCUGAGACCAGAAGGGACCAUUACGCCCAUCCAGUCUGGUCUCCUCAAUCACCCAGGCCAGAGAACUUCCUCUGGAGAAUCCUGCAUCCUGCCUAGUGGCUAGUGACUGAGCCAGAAAGGAUCUUAGGGAUCCAAAGAGAGAGAGAGACCCCUGCAGCUACCCCCGACUCUUUCGCCUUCCCUUCACUAUUCCCUUUCCUACCUGUCCUCUCCCAUCUCCUCCCCAUGGCAGAUGGAUGUUGUGGGGUUUGUGCCCUAAGAGCAGUGGUUAUCGGUUCCUAUUCCCGAGGUUCCCUGUCUCCCACCAGCGGGGGACGGUUCGUGCCCAGAUGGCCUCUUUAUCCCAGAUGAUGACAGGAUUUUGUCUCCAACUCUAGAGUCCUCACACACUGGGAAUCCCAACUGGAGAGCAAGCGAAGUAGUGGGCACUCUCUGGAGCCGCACAGAGAGAAACCCCCUCCGUGCACUGACUGUGGGGGGGCGUCACAGCUGGUGUUGCAUCAGAGACACCCUUCCAGAUAGAAGCCAGCAGGGCUGCGUCCUCUGGGCCCACGGGGCCCCAUCCCACCAGACACGUGCUGCAUCACACGCUAUUUGAGGCAUGUGGGGUCAGCCGUGAGCUGUGAGCUCGGGGGAAGGGGGCACAUUCCUGGGGUGAUUGAUUGCUUGGGAAUCAUGUAAUGGGAGGCAUUGGAGUGGAAACCAGAGAAGGAGGAUUCCUGGCUAAACAACUGGCCCGCUGGGUGACCUUGGGAAAGUCACUGCCCUGCUCUCUGCCUCGGUUUCCCUAUUGGUAAAAUGGGGAUAAUGUUACUGACCUUGGUAAAACACUUUGAGGUCUAGUGAUGAAAACCACUAGAUAAGAGCUGGGUCUUAUUAUUAUUUUAUUUUAUUAUUAAGGAGCAGCAUCUUGGGCUUAUUGAUCAUUGCUUCGGUGCCAGUGAUCAUGACUUGCAUUUGUCAUGUGCAAACAGAAUAAUGUCCAAACCAGUAUAAUUAUAUCUACACUUAAAAGGGCCAGUUUCACAAAGCUGAAAACAGUGAUGAGUCAAAUGAGCUGGGAGAAAGGAUUUAAUCAGAAAAUUGUGAGUGCUAUUUUGGAGUUGUAUAAGAACGUUGUACUAGAUGUCCAAAAAGCCAAAACUCCCCAAGCAAGAAAGAGAGCUACACAAGUGAAAAAAACAAACAACCUGGCUUAUAGGAGACGUGAAAGCAGCUAGAAAAAAAAAUACUGUGGCAUACUGUGGGGCCAUGCGGGUACCCAUAGCAGUGCCACUGACUUGAAGGUUUAAGUUGUCCCCAAAUCUGAAAUAGUUGUGAGUGAGGACAAAGUCACAAAGUUCAGCCACCAGGUGUGCCGUGGCCUCAUCAGGUAUACUGUUCCUGACAGCUUGUAGUCCAUCCUCGUGUGGAAUAUUGGUGUAAAGAGAUUCUACAUCCAUGGUGGCCAGGACAGUGUUUUCAGGAAGAUCACCAAUGCAUUGUAGUUUUCUCAGGAAGUCAGCGGUGUCUCGAAGAUAGCUAGGAGUGCUGGUAGCAUAGGGUCUGAGGAGAGAGUCCAAAUAGCCAGAUAAUCCUGCUGUAAGAGUGCCAAUGCCUGAGAUGAUGGGGCGUCCAGGAUUUCCAGGUUUAUGGAUCUUGGGUAGCAGAUAGAAUACCCCUGGUUGGGGCUCUAAGGGUGUGUCUGUGUAGAUUUGUUCCCAUGCUGUAGCAGGGAGUUUCUUGAGCAGAUGCUUUUGUUUCUUUUGGUACUCCUCAGUGGGAUCGGAGGACAGUGGCCUGUAGAAUGUGGUGUUGGAGAGUUGCCUGACAACCUCCUGUUCAUAAUCUGACCUGUUCAUGAUGACUACAGCACCUCCUUUGUUGGCCCCUUUGAUUAUAAUGUCAGAGUUGUUUCUGAGGCUGUGGAUGGCAUUGUGUUUUGUACAGCUGAGGUUAUGGGGCAAGUGAUGCUGUUUGUUCACAAUUUCAGCCUGUGCACAUCUGCGGAACCACUCUGUGUAGAAGUCCAGUCUGUAAUUUCGACUGUCAGGAGUCCACACAGAAUUCUUCCUCUUGUAGUGUUGGUAGGAGGGUUUCUGUAGGUCAGUGCUCUGUUCAGUGGUGUGUUGAAAAUAUUUUUUGAGUUGGAGACGGCAAAAGUAGGCUUCCAGAUCACCUCAGAACUGUAUCAAGUGAGUGGGGGUGGUGGGGCAGAAAGGGAGUCCCUGAGAUAGGACAGACUCUUCUGCCGGGCUAAGUGUGUGGUUGGAUAGAUUAACAAUAUUGUUGGGUAAGUUAAGGGUACCACUGUUGUAGCCCCCUGUGGCAUGUAGGAGUUUAGAUAGUUUACUGUCCUUUUUCCUCUGUAGAGAAGUAGUGUGCAUUGUAAAUGGCUUGUCUUGUUUUUGUAAAGUCCAGCCACGUGGAAGUUUGUGUGGAAGGUUGGUUUUGUAUGAGAGUCUCCAGUUUUGAGAGGUCAUUCUUGAUCUUCUCCUGUUUGCUGUACAACAUGCUGAUCAGAGGAUUCCUCAGUUUCUUUGAGAGUGUGUGGCACAAUCUCUCACCAUAGUCAGUGUAGUAUGUCGAUUGAAAUGGAUUUUUUACCUUCAGUCCAUUUGAUAUGAUGUCCAUCUGUUUGCACUUGGAGAGGAAGAUGAUGUCUCUCUGUAUCUGUGCGAGUUUUUUCAUGAAGUUGAUGGAUUUCCACUUCAUAGAAUCAUAGAAUAUCAGGAUUGGAAGGAACCUCAGGAUGUCAUCUAGUCCAACCCCCUGCUCAAAGCAGGACCAAUCCCCAACUAAAUCAUCCCAGCCCGGGCUUUGUCAAGCCUGACCUUAAAAGCCUCUAAGGGAGGAGAUUCCACCACCUCCCUAGGUAUCCCAUUCUAGUGCUUCACCACCCUCCUAGUAAAAAAGUUUUUCCUAAUAUCCAACCUAAACCUCCCCCACUGCAACUUGAGACCAUUACUCCUUGUUCUGUGAUCUGCUACCACUGAGAACAGUCUAGAUCCAUCCUCUUUGGAACCCCCUUUCAGGUAGUUGAAAGCAGCUAUCAAAUCCCCCCUCAUUCUUCUCUUCUGCAGACUAAACAAUCCCAGUUCCCUCAGCCUCUCCUCAUAAGUCAUGUGCUCCAGUCCCCUAAUAAUUUUUGUUGCCUUCUGCUGAACUCUUUCCAAUUUUUCCACAUCCUUCUUGUAGUGUGGGGCCCAAAACUGGACACAGUACUCCAGAUGAGGCCUCACCAAUGCCAAAUAGAGGGGAAUGAUCACGUUCUUCGAUCUGCUGGCAAUGCUCCUACUUAUACAGCCCCAAAUACCAUUAGGCUUCUUGGCAACAAGGGCACAUUGUUGACUCAUAUCCAGCUUCUCGUCCACUGUAACCCGUAGGUCCUUUUCUGCAGAACUGCUGCCUAGCCAUUUAGUCCCUAGUCUGUAGCAGUGCAUGGGAUUCUUCUGUCCUAAGUGCAGGACUCUGCACUUGUCCUUGUUGAAUCUCAUCAGAUUUCUUUUGGCCCAAUCCUCCACUUCAUAUGGCUAAAUUCAGUGUCUUGCAUGGUACCAAGUAUCAGAGGGGUAGUUAGUCUGUAUCCAAAGAAACAAAUUACAGAUACAGGGAUAAAUAUAUAUUGGCACAUGAAGAGAAGGGAGUUACCUUACAAGUGGAGAACCAAUAUUGAAGUCCAAUUUAGUCAGGGUGGAUGUGGGUGUGGUCCAUUUCCAGUAAUUGAUGAGGAAGUGUCAAUACCAAGAGAGGGAAAAUUGCUUUGUCUAUAGCCAAGCCCUAAGAUAUAACCACAUUUGCUCCUAUCCCUCAGAUAGAGACAAACACCUAUAUGAUCUCUAUCAAGCAUUCUUAAAACUACAAGGCACCUUAAAGACUAACAGAUUUAUUUGGGCAUAAGCUUUCGUGAGUAAAAACCUCACUUCUUCGGAUGCAUAGAGUGAAAGUUACAGAUGCAGGCAUUAUAUACUGACACAUGGAGAGCAGGGAGUUACUUCACAAGUGAAGAACCAGUGUUGACAGGGCCAAUUCAAUCAGGGUGGAUGUAGUCCACUCCCAAUAAUAAUACCCCCUGAUACUUAAAACUACAGUAUCCACCUGCGGAAGUGGGGAAACAGAUUGACAGAGAGAGACAGGUACCCAGAAGUCACCUACUACAGGACAGGCCCAACAAGGAAAAUAACAGAACACUACUGGCCAUCACGUACAGCCCCCAGCUAAAACCUCUCCAGUGCAUCAUCAACGAUCUACAACCUAUUCUGGAAAAUGAUCCCUCACUCUCACAGGCCUUGGGAGGCAGGCCAGUCCUCGCUUACAGACAGCCUCCCAGCUGAAGCAAAUACUCACCAGCAAUUACACACUACACCACAGAAACACUAACCUAGGAACCAAUCCCUGUAACAAACCCCGUUGCCUACUCUGUCCCCAUAUCUACUCUAGCAAAGCCAUCAUAGGACCCAACCACACCAGCCACACCAUCAAAGACUCAUUCACCUGCACAUCUACUAAUGUGAUAUAUGCCAUCAUGUGCCAGCAAUGCCCCUCUGCCAUGUACAUUGGCCAAACCGGACAGUCUCUUCAUAAAAGGAUAAAUGGACACAAAUCAGACAUCAGGAAUGGUGACAUACAAAAGCCAGUAGGAGAACACUUCAAUCUCCCUGGACACCCAAUAACAGAUUUAAAAGUAGCCAUUCUUCAACAAAAAAACGUCAAAAACAGACUUCAAAGAGAAACUGCAGAGUUACAAUUCAUUUGCAAACUUAACACUGUCAAUUUGGGCUUGAAUAGGGACUGGGAGUGGCUGGCUCACUACAAAAGCAAUUUUCCCUCUCUUGGUAUUGACACCUCCUCAUCAAUUAUUGGGAAUGGACCACAUCC